GAUGAACGCUGGCGGCGUGCCUAAUACAUGCAAGUCGAACGCAUAGCGAAAGGUGCUUGCACCUUUCAAGUGAGUGGCGAACGGGUGAGUAACACGUGGACAACCUGCCUCAAGGCUGGGGAUAACAUUUGGAAACAGAUGCUAAUACCGAAUAAAACUUAGUGUCGCAUGACACAAAGUUAAAAGGCGCUUCGGCGUCACCUAGAGAUGGAUCCGCGGUGCAUUAGUUAGUUGGUGGGGUAAAGGCCUACCAAGACAAUGAUGCAUAGCCGAGUUGAGAGAGUGAUCGGCCACAUUGGGACUGAGACACGGCCCAAACUCCUACGGGAGGCUGCAGUAGGGAAUCUUCCACAAUGGGCGAAAGCCUGAUGGAGCAACGCCGCGUGUGUGAUGAAGGCGUUCGGGUCGUAAAGCACUGUUGUAUGGGAAGAACAGCUAGAAUAGGAAAUGAGUUUAGUUUGACGGUACCAUACCAGAAAGGGACGGCUAACUACGUG
rnacentral:rRNA from 1 species